rnacentral:rRNA from 1 species
GCUUUGGUGCCUUCGGGAACUCUGAGACAGGUGCUGCAUGGCUGUCGUCAGCUCGUGUUGUGAAAUGUUGGGUUAAGUCCCGCAACGAGCGCAACCCUUAUCCUUUGUUGCCAGCGAUUCGGUCGGGAACUCAAAGGAGACUGCCGGUGAUAAACCGGAGGAAGGUGGGGAUGACGUCAAGUCAUCAUGGCCCUUACGAGUAGGGCUACACACGUGCUACAAUGGCGUAUACAAAGAGAAGCGACCUCGCGAGAGCAAGCGGACCUCAUAAAGUACGUCGUAGUCCGGAUUGGAGUCUGCAACUCGACUCCAUGAAGUCGGAAUCGCUAGUAAUCGUAGAUCAGAAUGCUACGGUGAAUACGUUCCCGGGUCUUGUACACACCG